rnacentral:lncRNA from 1 species
CAAACAUGAAGGCCUGGAGUUGUGUGGUUAUCAUGGUACUGAUGUUCGUCUCUCUAGAGGCAACGGUUGAUGACUUCUGCAACAAGUCAUGCAAUUAUCAGUGUAACCACAGCGGAAUGGGAUAUAAAACUUGUUUCGGACCCUGUGUAAUCGACUGUCUCCGUUCUCACUGCUACGUUCCAUGCUACAAAAUCUGCAACAAGGGACAGAAAACCUUUAAUCCUCAUUGUGAUGCAACAUGUACACAUGAAUGUCACCUCCCGAUUUUUGAUCCGAUUCAUCCUUUUCCGCCGCCGCCCCCCAUCUUCCCUAGUGCAGAGAGAAGACAAUAGAAUGUUUUGAUGCUUUAAUAUCAAAAUACUUUCAGCACAAUUGUUACUUUGGUUAAUGUAUUAAAAGAACGACAUGUUCUGAACAAAUGACGAAAAUAAUUAUCAAUAAAGGAA